GAUGAACGCUGGCGGUGUGCCUAAUACAUGCAAGUCGAGCGGCAGCACUUCGGGUGGCGAGCGGCGAACGGCUGAGUAACGCGUGGGAACGUGCCCCAAAGUGAGGGAUAACUUCGAGAAAUCGGAGCUAAUACCGCAUAUGAUCUUCGGAUUAAAGAAUUUAUUCGCUUUGGGAGCGGCCUGCGUACGAUUAGAUUGUUGGUGAGGUAAAGGCUCACCAAGUCGACGAUCGUUAGCUGGUCUGAGAGGAUGAUCAGCCAGACUGGAACUGAGACACGGUCCAGACUCCUACGGGAGGCAGCAGUAAGGAAUCUUCCACAAUGGGCGAAAGCCUGAUGGAGCAACACCGCGUGCAGGACGAAGGCCUUCGGGUUGUAAACUGCUUUUAUUAGCGAAGAAUAUGACGGUAACUAAUGAAUAAGGGUCGGCUAACUACGUGCCAGCCGCCGCAGUAA
rnacentral:rRNA from 1 species